rnacentral:rRNA from 1 species
GAACGCUGGCGGCGUGCUUAACACAUGCAAGUCGAACGGAAAGGCCCUGCUUUUGUGGGGUGCUCGAGUGGCGAACGGGUGAGUAACACGUGAGUAACCUGCCCUUGACUUUGGGAUAACUUCAGGAAACUGGGGCUAAUACCGGAUAGGAGCUCCUGCUGCAUGGUGGGGGUUGGAAAGUUUCGGCGGUUGGGGAUGGACUCGCGGCUUAUCAGCUUGUUGGUGGGGUAGUGGCUUACCAAGGCUUUGACGGGUAGCCGGCCUGAGAGGGUGACCGGCCACAUUGGGACUGAGAUACGGCCCAGACUCCUACGGGAGGCAGCAGUGGGGAAUAUUGCACAAUGGGCGGAAGCCUGAUGCAGCAACGCCGCGUGCGGGAUGACGGCCUUCGGGUUGUAAACCGCUUUCGCCUGUGACGAAGCGUGAGUGACGGUAAUGGGUAAAGAAGCACCGGCUAACUACGUGCCAGCAGCCGCGGUGAUACGUAGGGUGCGAGCGUUGUCCGGAUUUAUUGGGCGUAAAGGGCUCGUAGGUGGUUGAUCGCGUCGGAAGUGUAAUCUUGGGGCUUAACCCUGAGCGUGCUUUCGAUACGGGUUGACUUGAGGAAGGUAGGGGAGAAUGGAAUUCCUGGUGGAGCGGUGGAAUGCGCAGAUAUCAGGAGGAACACCAGUGGCGAAGGCGGUUCUCUGGGCCUUUCCUGACGCUGAGGAGCGAAAGCGUGGGGAGCGAACAGGCUUAGAUACCCUGGUAGUCCACGCUGUAAACGGUGGGUACUAGGUGUGGGGUCCAUUCCACGGGUUCCGUGCCGUAGCUAACGCUUUAAGUACCCCGCCUGGGGAGUACGGCCGCAAGGCUAAAACUCAAAGGAAUUGACGGGGCCCCGCACAAGCGGCGGAGCAUGCGGAUUAAUUCGAUGCAACGCGUAGAACCUUACCUGGGUUUGACAUGGAUCGGGAGUGCUCAGAGAUGGGUGUGCCUCUUUUGGGGUCGGUUCACAGGUGGUGCAUGGCUGUCGUCAGCUCGUGUCGUGAGAUGUUGGGUUAAGUCCCGCAACGAGCGCAACCCUUGUUCACUGUUGCCAGCACGUUAUGGUGGGGACUCAGUGGAGACCGCCGGGGUCAACUCGGAGGAAGGUGGGGAUGACGUCAAGUCAUCAUGCCCCUUAUGUCCAGGGCUUCACGCAUGCUACAAUGGCUGGUACAGAGAGUGGCGAGCCUGUGAGGGUGAGCGAAUCUCGGAAAGCCGGUCUCAGUUCGGAUUGGGGUCUGCAACUCGACCUCAUGAAGUCGGAGUCGCUAGUAAUCGCAGAUCAGCAACGCUGCGGUGAAUACGUUCCCGGGGCUUGUACACACCGCCCGUCAAGUCAUGAAAGCUGGUAACACCCGAAGCCGGUGGCCUAACCGUUGUGGGGGAGCCGUCGAAGGUGGGACUGGUGAUUAGGA